UACGGGGGGGGCAAGCGUUGUUCGGAAUUACUGGGCGUAAAGGGCUCGUAGGCGGCCAACUAAGUCAGACGUGAAAUCCCCAGGCUCAACCUGGGAACUGCGUCUGAUACUGGAUGGCUUGAAUCCGGGAGAGGGAUGCAGAAUUCCAGGUGUAGCGGUGAAAUGCGUAGAUAUCUGGAAGAACACCGGUGGCGAAGGCGGUCGACUGGCCCUAAACUGACGCUGAGGCACGAAAGCGUGGGGAUCAAACAGG
rnacentral:rRNA from 1 species